GUGACAGAAGAGAGUGAGCACACAUGGUGGCUUUCUUGCAUAUUUGACGGUUUCAUGCUUGAAGCUAUGUGUGCUCACUCUCUAUCCGUCAC
rnacentral:pre_miRNA from 1 species